CAGCAUCAAGGAAACAGAUUAUCGAACCUAAGAAUCAAAUCUACCGAUCUGAGACUAAGGACUCUCUCUAAAAGCAAGAAAUUCUACUCGGAGAAGAUCACUACUAGAAGAGACAACAACAGCAAGCAACCAAACAAUCCAAUCAACCAACAAGCAACAAGCAACAAGCAAGCAAGCAAACGAACAAGCAAGUGUGAUCCUAG
rnacentral:lncRNA from 1 species